rnacentral:rRNA from 1 species
CUACACAUGCAAGUCGAGCGGUAGAGAGAAGCUUGCUUCUCUUGAGAGCGGCGGACGGGUGAGUAAUGCCUAGGAAUCUGCCUGGUAGUGGGGGAUAACGUUCGGAAACGGACGCUAAUACCGCAUACGUCCUACGGGAGAAAGCAGGGGACCUUCGGGCCUUGCGCUAUCAGAUGAGCCUAGGUCGGAUUAGCUAGUUGGUGGGGUAAUGGCUCACCAAGGCGACGAUCCGUAACUGGUCUGAGAGGAUGAUCAGUCACACUGGAACUGAGACACGGUCCAGACUCCUACGGGAGGCAGCAGUGGGGAAUAAUGGACAAUGGGGGAAACCCUGAUCCAGCCAUGCCGCGUGAGUGAAGAAGGCCUUCGGGUUGUAAAGCUCUUUCGUGAGGGGAGAAAAGGUUCAGG